AUUGAACGCUGGCGGCAUGCCUUACACAUGCAAGUCGAACGGCAGCACGGAGCAACCUGGUGGCGAGUGGCGAACGGGUGAGUAAUGUAUCGGAACGUACCAUUGAGUGGGGGAUAACGUAGCGAAAGUUACGCUAAUACCGCAUAUUCUCUCCGGAGGAAAGCAGGGGACCGCAAGGCCUUACGCUCUUUGAGCGGCCGAUAUCAGAUUAGCGAGUUGGUGAGGUAAAGGCUCACCAAGGCGACGAGCUGUAGCGGGUCUGAGAGGAUGAUCGGCCACACGGGAACUGAGACCCGGUCCAGACUCCUACGGGGGGCAGCAGUGGGGAAUUUUGGACAAUGGGGGCAACCCUGAUCCAGCCAGGCCGCGUGAGUGAAGAAGGCCUUCGGGUUGUAAGGCUCUUUCGGCCGGGAAAAAAUCGCAUGGGCUAAUACCCUGUGUGAUGAUGGUACCGGAAUAAGAAGCACCGGCUAACUACGUGCCAGCAGCCGCAGUAA
rnacentral:rRNA from 1 species